UUUAUUUCUCACUAAGUCUUGCACCAGCUGGUAGGCAAAUUAUUUGUUAUGCUCCCUUGUCUGUUAUUUAGCAAAGUGAUAUCCUGUCUUUCUGUAGGUUUAAAGAAGACAGUGCAUGAGCUGGUGUGGGCUGCUGCUACUCCAAUACAUCAAAUGUCACCUGCAUCCAUGUCACACUUUCAUAAUGAACUUUAAAAUUAAUAAUUCACAUUUCUAUAGUGCUUUCAGGCUUUCUGUUCUUCUCACUUUCACCUUAGCCUACUGGGAUCGUACAUUUUAUGGAAACAGAUGCCAAGAAAGUUCAGGAAACACUGGGACUUCUUUCUGAUAACAAGUGGAAAUGAGCUUCCUUCCUUGGGUUUUAAUUUGGACAAUGAAUCUUCAAUAAAGGAAUAUGAUGGAGAACUCUCA
rnacentral:lncRNA from 1 species